CAGGAGGGAUACCCGCUG
rnacentral:rRNA from 1 species